rnacentral:tRNA from 1 species
ACAUCGGUAGCACGGUGGCUAAUGCAGUCUGCCGGAAACAGAAAGCCGCGGGUUCAAUUCCCGUCCUAUGUC